rnacentral:rRNA from 1 species
AUGCGAGGGGAUACGAGGGCAGCGGCGGAGAUGUCCGUUGCGGAUGCUGCCGCUGCGGCGGACAAAGGUAAGGAGAAGGUGGAGGAGCCUGUGCCCCCGGCGAGGGCGGCGGGGGGCGGAAAUGGGAGGUUCAUGGCGUACCCGGCGCGGAUGGCGGAGCACAAAAGCGUGGUGGCGGACGCCGCCCUCUUCAGGGCUGAGCUCGAGAAGCUGCACGCGCACAUGGGCACAAAACUCAAGGUGCCAAUUAUUGGUGGAAAAGACCUGGAUCUUCAUCAACUAUUUAAGGAAGUUACCUCACGAGGUGGCAUUGAUAAGGUCAAGGCAGAAAACAGAUGGAGAGAAGUAACCGCGUCAUUUAUUUUCCCUGCGACUGCGACAAAUGCUUCUUUUAUGUUGAAAAAAUACUAUAUGUCUCUGUUAUACCAUUUUGAACAGCUCUACUUCUUUGGAGGACAGGGCUGGUAUCAACAAGAAAGUGAUCCCAGAUCACUGCCUUGCAUAGAAGUGAGAGCUGAAACACAAAACAUCGACAAAAGAAAAAGGGCCACCAAUGCCUCUUCAGACCCAGCUUUGGCUUCUGAUAAUGUCGAUGUGGAUGUAAUAAUUGAUGGCAAGUUUGAACAUGGUUACAUUGUAACUGUUAUUACGGGAUCAAAAUCCACAAAAGCAGUCCUUUAUAAUUACAGUGAGGAACCUGCUCUUACAACUCUGGCACCUACUAUGCACGUAAACAACACUGCUUCGAAGGGUGGACGUAGGCGGAGGCAACGCAGGAAGAAGCUAAGUACAACAGACCCCAGACAUCCCAAACCGAACAGGAGCGGCUAUAAUUUCUUUUUCCAAGACCAGCACAGAAAGCUAAAGCCAGAUUAUCCUGGCCAGGACAGGCUGAUUAGUAAAAUGAUUGGUGAACGGUGGAACAAUCUAAGCCCCGAAGACAAAGCUGUGUACCAAGAAAGAGGUGUACAGGACAAGGAGAGAUACCAGUCUCAGUUGGCUGCUUAUAAAGAAGAACUGAGAACAGGCCAGCCUAUGAGCAAUCCUAUGCCUAUUAUCGGCAAUGCACCUAUCCAGCAGACAUUUCCCCAGACAGAAGUAACUAUUGAUGAAGUGGACUCCAAAGUCAGUAAAGGAGAUAUGCUGCUGUCCAAUCAAAGGUACAACAACAGUGACGAAGGUGUUGAUUCAGGUGGAAAACUUGUUGAAGAUGAAGAGUUCAACACGGAUACAUCUCCUGAGCCUAGCAUUGAUACCACUGAUUCGCCUGGGCUGCUUGAUCCUUCUGCUGAUGGCGACCGAUUUGAACUUCGCAGGAGGGAGAACCCCAACAAAAAUGAGAAACAGAGCACUGCACCUAAAUAA